AUUGAACGCUGGCGGCAGGCCUAACACAUGCAAGUCGAACGGUAACAGGAAGAAGCUUGCUUCUUUGCUGACGAGUGGCGGACGGGUGAGUAAUGUCUGGGAAACUGCCUGAUGGAGGGGGAUAACUACUGGAAACGGUAGCUAAUACCGCAUAACGUCGCAAGACCAAAGGGGGGGACCUUCGGGCCUUUUGCCAUCGGCUGUGCCCAGAUGGGAUUAGCUAGUAGGUGGGGUAACGGCUCACCUAGGCGACGAUCCCUAGCUGGUCUGAGAGGAUGACCAGCCACACUGGAACUGAGACACGGUCCAGACUCCUACGGGAGGCAGCAGUGGGGAAUAUUGCACAAUGGGCGCAAGCCUGAUGCAGCCAUGCCGCGUGUAUGAAGAAGGCCUUCGGGUUGUAAAGUACUUUCAGCGGGGAGGAAGGGAGUAAAGUUAAUACCUUUGCUCAUUGACGUUACCCGCAGAAGAAGCACCGGCUAACUCCGUG
rnacentral:rRNA from 1 species